UCCAGCCUCGUGCGUCCCGGAGUCCCGGCUUUAUAGGGCUGCUGGCUGCUGCGCCUGCCUGCUCGCCGCUUCCGGGCUGACAGUGUGGGCUGCAGGCAGCGGCCGGCCCAGGACGCUGAGAAGAUGACAAGGAGUGGCUGAACCCCAGGGCUCAGCCUGGACAGUCGACCACUGACUGCACGGGAGACGCCCUCGCCCAGGACAGAGUUCAAAGACAGGAGAAUCACCCUCGUUUGGAUGCAAAUUAUUCUCUGCCGCUCUCCACUCAGCUUCACGCGAGGUGGAAGGCGCCCAGCGAGCAGCGAUUAAGCCGUUCCGCCCCUCGGGGAACCUCACCACUCCCUGCGGUGGCUUCUGGCUCAAGCCGCGCCUCUAAGGAUCUACCCUAGUGGGCCGGUGGUUCUGCGAGUGACAGGACCUACGCUUUCCGCUCCACCCGACAGUGACCCGGGGCAUCCCGUGAGCGCCCCCUGCCCGUGACUCCGGCACUUGCUGCAGUUCGCAGCCUCUACGAGCCCGGGAGCGCCCGGCCGCGCGACACCGACCGGGUCAGGAUCAAGGUCUUGGUCCGGCUGCCGUGCCACUCCCUGGGGCUGGGACCCAGGGAACAUGCGGGUCGCGCAAGCGUGAACUUGGGCAGCCUGUGCGGGUGCCGCCGCCGACGCCGGGGAGGAGACUGAGCGCAACCCGGUGCUGGUACUAUGCAGGCCGCAGUUGUGCGGCCCCGGGUCUCCGCAGCGCCAGCCAUGUGGGAGCUCACCUCAUUUAGCUCAGCGUUUUAGACUGAGUUUUCGAAUGGCUCUUUGGAGGCCGCGAGCCUUAGCACCAGAGUGUAGGGAAGCAGGUUCGCUCUGGUAUGUGCUGCCGCGGUGGAGGAAUUUCUGACCUCUGCGUUAACAACCUCGCCUGUUCCCCAUAUUUUGAGGACAAACAUGACAAGCUGUGACAUCCCCCAAAUGCUUUGGAUUUAUCUACACAGAGCUGACAUUGUCAUACCUA